AGUGAACGCUGGCGGUAGGCCUAACACAUGCGAGUCGAACGGCAGCACAGUAAGAGCUUGCUCUUACGGGUGGCGAGUGGCGGACGGGUGAGGAAUACAUCGGAAUCUACUUUUUCGUGGGGGAUCACGUAGGGAAACUUACGCUAAUACCGCAUACGACCUACGGGUGAAAGCAGGGGAUCUUCGGACCUUGCGCGAUUGAAUGAGCCGAUGUCGGAUUAGCUAGUUGGCGGGGUAAAGGCCCACCAAGGCGACGAUCCGUAGCUGGUCUGAGAGGAUGAUCAGCCACACUGGAACUGAGACACGGUCCAGACUCCUACGGGAGGCAGCAGUGGGGAAUAUUGGACAAUGGGCGCAAGCCUGAUCCAGCCAUACCGCGUGGGUGAAGAAGGCCUUCGGGUUGUAAAGCCCUUUUGUUGGGAAAGAAAAGCAGCAGGUUAAUACCCCGCUGUUCUGACGGUACCCAAAGAAUAAGCACCGGCUAACUUCGUG
rnacentral:rRNA from 1 species